GUCAGAGUGUAAAUGAGAGAAUGUGCAAAAAAACAAAUUUUCUAAUUUUUUAUAUAGACUGGUUUCAGUGUGAGCAUACAUCAGUCUGAAGAAAAAAUUUGGAUGCUCUAGCUCUUAUAGUCUCUGAGAACUAGCGGACAAACAAGACGGACAGGUUGUAUGUAACCCAUAGAAGGAACCGCCUCCUCUUGAUCAGCAUCAAUAGCCGAGUCGAUUGAGCCUUGUCUGUCUGUCCAUGAAGAAACUAUAUAAGGAGGUCUCGUUGGCAAAAAUAAGAUGAACGUGCGAGUGAAAAGUGCGAGUAAGUGUGAGGGCAACGACAAUGGAGUGUGCUGAUUAACCAUUUGAAGGCAAUGUGAAAAAAAAACAUAAUAAUUGUUUCAUAAUUUAAUUUUUAAAAGUUUGCUGUCUGUGUUUUGUCUGUGUUUUGAAAAUAUAAACAUGUUGAAAAAAUUUGAAAAAAAAUUGUAUCCGCAACCAACCUUUCGCGUCGACAAGCAAAAGAGCACUGAGAAUUGGGAAAAGCAGCGAGUAACUCUGCCACCGACGAGACCUCCUUAUAUAGUUGCUUUAUGCUCGCGACUUGGUGUCUUAGGUGGCGGAGGUGUACAUACAUAUGUGUCUGGCUCUAGCUCAAGGUAAAAUUAAAUGUAGCAGGAAAAAGAAUAAAGGUAUGCAUGUAGGAAAUGAAGGAAAGAGAGAGACACGAAGCGGUCGUAGUUUUUUCGUGUCGUCGUCUGCAAAGAGCGGUCAUCGGCUCUGAGAGAGCCGACAGCGAGAAGGAGAGAUCAGUCGAACUCGCCAGUCUUACUCAAGCAGGCACGCAUCAAAUUGUAAACGCGCAUACUUAAGAAUGCCCUAAUGUAACAAAUGUAAACUUGGAGCUAAUUUAAGAAAUAUAAGUUCAGCAUUACUUAAUAAAUGUUCACAUUGAAAUCAAGCAAUUAUAAAACAACCACAUCCAUGCGUGUAUGGGCUUCCUGUGUAUGCGCCUCAGCGCCACGCUUGAUUAUGCGUUUGCAUGCACAUAAAACCAAAAGUCAAACACGGGACAAACCUCAACCCCUCCUGAUAACCAAUGGCAGGCAUAUUUACAGGAAAAGCCAUGACGGCUUUUGGGUGCUGAUAGCAUGUGUUCCGGGCUCCCCAACGCAAAAUCUAGGUGUACCUUUUUAGCCUUUAUGCGAACAUUCAGAGGGUUAUUGUGCAAGAAAAUGUAAGUCCCGUGUGUACGCCAUUUAUAAAUAAUCGAACUGAUAUAUGUAUGUACAUACAUACUUAUGUAUGUACAUGUGUAGGUAAUGCGUAAUUGCUAAAUUUUGCCAUUUCCACAUUGAUAUUGAAAUAUCAAAGUACGAUGAUUGAAUGAGUGCUUUUUGAAGUACGAUUGUUAUUUUGUCGAGCUCCAGGAUUUCCACACAAAAUAUCCGCGCAAAGCCUGCAAGUCGAGGCAGAGUGGCUUCACGAACGGAGUUGCCGGACAGCAGAGGAUCGAGUGUGAGGCUACCAUAUGGUGAACCGGUUAAAAGCUGCGCGGAGAUUUCAAAAGUCUAAGUCAAUAGCCCAUAGCGGCAGGGAUGGAGGAGGAGGGAAAGUUGGCUUUCGAGCGCAAGACGAGAGUUCCCCACCGCUGUGGUAGACGCCCAGGGGCACCUUGAUGAUAGAGCAUGCGAUGGAAAAGGAUCUCACUUAUUCCUCGAGACUGGUUCCUCGCAAAAGGAGGCAGAAAGCCGAAUGAUGAAUUGAAUUUACAGCUGACAAACCCACCAUGUCCAGAAGUUUUUUUUUUUUUUUUUUGCACAUUCUCACUCUAAUUCGUCUGGUGUGGAAAGCGAGCUAAAAGAGCCUGUUGGCGUGAGAAGUGAUGAUGUAGAUGACACAUGUGGAAAAAAUUUAAAAUAUGAAAAAAUCCACUAAGGUUACCUAAGACUGAGUACACACGUUCCUCGUCUUUUAUGAUUAGACUGUUAUCAGUCCCUUUUAUCAUAUGCAUGUACAUACAAACGCUAUGUAGCACGCUCUGUUAGCUCGCCCCGCUCCAUGCACUGCAAAUUAAUUUCUUCAUUCUGGCUAUAAUAUUGAUCCAUACAGCAGGUUUUAUCCCCUUUUUUUAAAGACACGUGUAUCAGUGUGAUAUCACAGCAGUCCGGAGGCAAAAUUUGGUGGCUCUAGCUCUUAUGGUCUCUUAGAACUAGCCGACAAACAUGUUGGAAAGAUGGACGGACAGACUGACAGACGGACAGAAAGACAUAUUAUAUUAUAUUGACUCGGCUACUAUUCAGAUAAUUUACAGAUUUAACACAUCAUUUCGGCUAUGAGAAUUAAAAAGAAGAAUGCGAAAGCACCGAAUCACAUUGAGCCUGAAUUGAAGCCAUAAUACUAUUAAAGUAAAUUGACUUCAUCCCCGCCGUAUACCACAGGACUCUUUACCACCCUCUCCGUCCAUCCCCUUCGCAUCAUAAUAAAU
rnacentral:lncRNA from 1 species